rnacentral:rRNA from 1 species
GUCGUGACUGCGUGCCUUUUGAAGAAUGAGCCUGCGAGUUUGCGGUAGGUUGCGAGGUUAACCCGUGUGGGGAAGCCGUAGCGAAAGCGAGUCCGAAGAGGGCGAUAUAGUAGCGUGCCCAAGACCCGAAGCGGAGUGAUCUAGCCAUGGGCAGGUUGAAGCGGAGGUAAGACUUCGUGGAGGACCGAACCCACCAGGGUUGAAAACCUGGGGGAUGACCUGUGGUUAGGGGUGGAAGGGCCAAUCAAACUCCGUGAUAGCUGGUUCUCCCCGAAAUGCAUUUAGGUGCAGCGUCGUGUGUUUCUUGCCGGAGGUAGAGCACUGGAUAGGCGAUGGGCCCUACCGGGUUACUGACCUUAGCCAAACUCCGAAUGCCGGUAAGUGAGAGCGCGGCAGUGAGACUGUGGGGGAUAAGCUCCAUUGUCGAGAGGGAAACAGCCCAGAGCAUCGACUAAGGCCCCUAAGCGUGUGCUAAGUGGGAAAGGAUGUGGAGUCGCAGAGACAACCAAGGAGGUUGGCUUAGAAGCAGCCAUCCUUGAAAGAGUGCGUAAUAGCUCACUGGUCAAGUGAUUCCGCGCCGACAAUGUAGCGGGGCUCAAGCACACCGCCGAAGUCAUGUCA